UACGUAUGGGGCAAGCGUUAUCCGGAUUUACUGGGUGUAAAGGGAGCGCAGGCGGCACGGCAAGCCUGAUGCGAAAGCCCGCGGCCCAACCGCGGGACUGCAUUGGGAACUACCGGGCUGGAGUGCCGGAGAGGUAGGCGGAAUUCCUAGUGUAGCGGUGAAAUGCGUAGAUAUUAGGAGGAACACCAGUGGCGAAGGCGGCCUACUGGACGGUGACUGACGCUGAGGCUCGAAAGCGUGGGGAGCAAACAGG
rnacentral:rRNA from 1 species